AAUCUCUUACCUGCUAAGGGCUGAAGCAACCCAGCGGAUCGUGCGUGCACCUUGAAGAGGAAGCCACAGCCUGAGAUGACGAUCUGAAACCUGGAAAGGAUCUGGUUAGGUGUCCUUUGCAGGCAGAAGUUCGUGGUUAAGGGUCUUCUCGGUCAUCUGUUUUUAGAAUGAAAAUUUUCAGCUAGUGUUUGUUGAGUAUCUGGUGUGUGCUGGGCAUUGUUCAUGGUGUUGGGGUAUCAGUGGACCAGACGGAGAAGAGUUGCUGCCUUCUUGAAGCUUACAUUCUAAUAAGACACACAGUAAAUCAAAAUGUAACAGGAGAGGAAGACAAUUAUCCUGAAGACAUACACGUGCACGGAACCCCGCGUAUCCGCGGAUGGAAGCUCGAAGCAGAGCACGUGGAGAAGAUAAAGAUGCAGUGGGGACAAGUCCACACACGAGCCAUCUGGCCCUUUGGAGGAGACGGCACCGUGUCCCUGGUGCCUGGGAACAAGGACGGGCUGUUCUGGGGCCGGAUGCCAGGCCAGCACGCACGGGCCCCGGCUGGCUGACACUGGCUGGCUACCUCGCUCUGCUAAAGGUCGAGCAGCAGACCUUUUCCAGAAGGGAGAAGAAACUGUAGAAGAUCCAGUACCGUACCCCACAUCUGAUUCAUCAUAACCUGUUGCCCACACAGCAGCGAGAGCUCUCCAUGGAGUGACGGGCAAACAUGUCAUUCUUCUAUUAGUCGUUUAUUCUGUCUGCCGAACACCUACCAAUACUCUGUACAUUUCCUUCCAAACCCAAAGAAGCAUAAAGAAACUCUACUGGAUAUUUGUCCCUUCCCUCUCUGUUCUCUUUCUGGACACCUUUCUCUCACUCCUGUGUCGAGACAUGUUUUCUGGGUGCCAGGCUCUGGUUGUGACCUGACGCGUCAGAUGUCGUCACGGCCCCUGAGCUCACCCUGGCAGAACUGUGCUUUCUAGCCUCUUUCAGGCCCAGUGGGGCACACUGGGAAAGGUCAUUGUGCACACACUGGGGAGUGGGGGGAGGUGGCAGGUGGGGAAGCCAUAAUCUAGGCUUCCUGGAACUGAGAGGGUCAGUGCGUCUCAACACGCCGGUGUGUGCAUGUGAGUGUGUGUGUCUGUGUAAAACAUGACCUAGCAGUCCUGCUGGAGAGAGGGAUUCCCACUGCUGUCUAACAACCAUCUGCUUGUUUGCCUUGUGGAAUUUCGCAGGGUCCCAUUAGCUGGCAGCUGGUGACCCUGGGUCCUCUGUGACUUGGGUUCACUCAAAAGUUUCUGGCCACAAAUUUGAGCGCUUUCUCCGUUAAGGUGCUGCAGGGGCUCCAGAAGUGAAGAGCUGAUCUUCACUUCGAGGGGGCUUGUGGCCCAGUUUGGGGGGUACAACACACCUGUAGCUACCCUAAGACAAGGCAAAAUAUGAGGACCACAAAGGAGGUACAGAAAGCUGGGUUCCGGGGCGAGAAUCUGGUCUAGCGGGGGAGCCGGGUGCCCCUGAUGGAAGAGGUGACCGAUUUGCACUUUGCCUUAAAGGAUGUAGGAUUCUGACCAGCAAGGGUGGGCUGAGUCUGGGGAUGGAUAUGAGUAAGAGGCAUUCAAGGGGGAGGGCACAGCCCAUCUGAAGGCAUGGGUCUGGGGUGAGCGGGCACUUCCGUUUUGAUGAGCCUGUAGGUUUGGUACAGGAAUAGAUGGGGAGGAGGCCGCAGAGCCGGGUGGAGGCAUAGGCUGGGUGUGGACUCGGAUUUCGGCUCCGGGGGCUGCCUUCACAGCCCGUACAUGAAUAGCUGGACAGGGUGGACGCCUGGGGUUGGUUUGAAUGGGACGCGGUUGACACAGUGUAGUACAAGGGAAUCGAGCACAGAAAGUCUCCCUCCACUCCUGGAUUGCUUGUUUGAGGUCCACAAAGGUAGCUUUCGAUUGAACGUGGCCUCUCUUGGCCCUUCCAGAGCCAGCAUACACCUAGUGCCUUGGGGCUCUUUAGAGCUGCGGGCACAAGCUAUUUUCAUGCUCCUUCAAAUGCCCGUGUUUAUUUUUAAACUCGAGCCUUUGUAAAGCAGGUAUGUAUCAUUCAGGCUUUGCUUUUGAGUAAAAAGGCUCUCUUGGGCCAAUGGAACCAACAAAAAGAUGUUCUUGAUUUAAAGUUGGACAUUCUUUUCAUUUAAUGCCUCCAUGCAUAUAUUCCGGUGUUAUAGGAAGGGCCACAGAAGUAAUUUGCUUUUAAAGAAAAUCCUGGAAAGAGGAAACCCUCAUGCAGUUGGCCACUUUCUUAACUUGUGCUGGCAGAUCUGUAUUGUGAACACUGGUGCUCAGACAAGAAAGAGGUCUGCGUGCGUCAGAGAUGGGGCGGGUGGGGACAAGCUGGUGGGGGUAGUCUGAACCCUGCCUCCCCCAGCCCCACCUCCCACCAAUAGGAGCCCGUGGACAAGGGGCUUAGCAGAGAAGGUCUGUUACCUUUUAAGCAUAUGCGAGUUAUAACUGAAAAUUAAUGAGAUUAAUUUAGAGUUCAAGACUGGAGGAUUCAGCACAUGUGCUCUUUAUACCUUUCCUCCCCAGAACUCAUUAAAAUGAUAAUAAAGAGAUUGUUAGGAGUAUAAUCCUACGGCAGCAAAGUGAAUGGGAGGGAAUUAGCAGCCCCUGAGAGAUUGCAACAAAUUUCUGGCUAAUAGAAAGCAGUGGAGGAAUGGCGAUGUCAGAAAUACAGCAGAGGAGACCAGAGGCCAAAGUCCAAGUGGAAGGGGGCCGUGGGGGUGGGAGGAGGGGGCCAGGCUGCCCUGGAGAACUCCAGAGAGCCUCUUAACCAAGCCCACAGGUCCAGCCCAGGGCCAGAAUGAGACGUGGUGCUGAAAGCUGGAACUUGAAUCGAAGGUCUUAGGGACUCCGUGUUUAUUAGGGAGAAUGAGGACAAGUGAACGUCACUGGCAGAGGCAAGGCAGGGAGUGUGGGCAUUGGCAUUCUAGAAUAAAGUCUUCCUUGGCCUGGUGUGGAUCCUGGAUAGGUGGGUGGUAUUUGAAGCCAUGGUACUAGGUAAGACCAGCGAAGGAGAGAUCUUGGAGUUCUCUGACUGACCCUGAGGAGUCAGGAAGAGGAAGAGCCAGCAGAAUAAACUUCUCAUCAGAUAAAGUGGAUGCAAGACAAAAGAGUAAAGCAAGGCCUUUAAGGUUCUGAGGGAAGAGCAUUUUUUAACCAUUGAAAAAAAAUUUUAUGUCUAAAAAAUGUCCCCCUUAGAUGUUAUGUCCUAAACUCCCGAGCCUGUCAAUUUACCUUAUUUGGUAAAAGUCUUUGCAGAUGUGAUUACGGUGAGGAUCUCGAGGUGGAGAGAUUAUCCCGAAUUAUGCUGGGAGACCUUAAAUGCGAUCACAACUGUCUUUAUGAGGGGGAGGCAGAGGGAGAUUUUACUACACAUGAACAGAAGAGAGAAGGGAUGUGAGGGCCUCAGCAGAUGGAGAGAUUUGAAGAUGCUAAGCUGCAGGCUUCAAAGAUGGAGGAAGAGGCCAAGGAAUGCGGCUCUGGAAGCUGGAAAAGCCAGGAAACGGGUUCUUCCCUAGAGCCUGCAGAGGAGCGGGGCCCUCCUGACACUUUGGUUUCAGCCCAGUGAAAGUGAUUUCAGAGGUGAGAGAACGAGUUCCUGUUGUUUUAAGCCACUGAGUUUGGGGUCAUUUGUUACAGUAGCCCAGGACACUGAUCCAUAUAGCCAAACCAGUCAAGUGUAGGGGGAGAGUAAGGGGAAUUAUAGAUACAAGGACCUAAAGUUUACUUCUCGCUCCUUUUGAGGGUCUACACCUGCAGAACAAGGGUGAAGACGAUGGAGAAGGCAGUUGGGGACCAAAAGAGACUUGGUGGCUCCUGGGAGUCUAAAGAAAAGAACUCUUAGACAGACGGCCAUGAGUGGGCCUCAGAAGCACCCAGUCCAGAUUGGAACUGGAAGUCAUUGGCUCUAAGAAUAAUAUCUUCAGGACAGAGACUGGAAUGGAUUCAGACAGAAUGAACAGGAAGCUGGAAGACACCAGGGUUAUGGGAAGAUGGGCUGUGUUUGUCUUCUCAGUAGGAAAAAGAAGGCAGUAGAAAAACUCCACAAAAAAUAAAGAUGAUCACAAGCAUGUUGCAUUUCAAAUACGAAGCACAGUGAGGGACCACCUGCUUUUGAACAACUGGGAGAGGGCUGGAGAGGAGAGGCUGCUCCGUGACCUUUGCUGGGAACUUGUUCCUUUGGGGAACGCUUGGCUCCUGACACUGGAACCAUACAGGAAGAAAUAUAAUUCUGGCACAUUUCUUGGGUCUGCGGGGAGCAAUAUUUAUAUAGUCAUAAUAAUGUUCUCUUUUUUAGAUGGUUACAUAGUACUUUAUUGUGUUAAUUUAUUGACUUAACUCCUCCUGGUACUGGACAUUCUAUUUAUACCCGGUUGACUUUUCUGUAAAUAACGGUAGAAUCUGACGUCAGUUUGAUCCAUGAAGCCUCUUUUGUUGGCAGAGUUGGCGAACUGAAUUGUUAGACUGGUAAUGUGUAAUUCUUUAUUGGGGGGGGUGCCCCCCAAGUGCAAGAAUGUGGCUGAAUUCUGAAGGGAGGUGGUGAAUGGCUCAUCUAGACUAUCUCCCUUGCUGUGCUGGGCAUUAGCCCAGCAGGCCAGCUUGCUCUUGGUCCUGCCCGAUCCUGUAUGGAUGAGCAGCCUGGUGCCGCGUCCCUGAGCAGAGGCCUGUGGGCAGAGGGAGUGUGUGGGUGGGGCGGGCAUGCUGACUUACAGGUCUGGUACAAAUGGGAGAAAGCUGAGCUUGUUUACGUGCCAAGAGUGAGGAUCCAGAAACUGAGAGAGGCUAUUGUUGUAAUUGAGGUUGGUGUUUCCUAUUCUUUUAAAUGUCAUGGACACAUGGAAAAUAUUUAUACAGCACAUGAGUAAAUGGAUGAGACUGCCCAUGGUCAGAAGUGACCCGUCAGGGCAUUCCAGUUGCCCCAGGCUCUGCUUUGCACCCAGAGGGUUAAAGAGAUCCCCUUGUCAACAGGCAACUUGCUCCCAGCCCAAUGACAUCUUUGUACAAAUGAGAAAAAGCCACUUCUUUCUCAAGACACCUUCCGGAUGUCCGCUGCCUGCCAGAUAUUAUUUGACAGAAUAGGUAUGCAAAUCUUUCAUGAGCACACUGUGAUGGAUGCCCUCAGAGUUCUGUGCUGCACAGCCAUUCGCAGGACCCUGGCUCAGCACACCUGUGGCCCGUUUGAGGAUGCUGCCAGGAAGGAGGCUGAGGGAGAGGACAGAGACGAGAGACAUUCCUGCCGUAUGCUGGCAUGAGACGCUCAGGUUUCUGCUGGUGACAGACCCAAUGGUGGGAGUCGCUGGAAUAGGGCUGCAGGGAGAGCAGUGCUAUGGAGGAUAGGUGUGGGCACCGAGUUCAGGAGAGAUGCCUGGGCUGGAGUGUCAUUUGGGCAUCAUCACAUAGAGAUGGUUCUUGAAGCUGUGGAAGUGAGUGUGUAGAAAAACUCCGUGGAAAAGAACUCUGGAGCCAGCCCCUGUGGGCCACCCAAUUCCCCCACUGAGGUGGGGCCUGAUACUCAAGCAAGAACGUAGAAAUGAGGUCCCAGUGUGAGGGGACUCUCUGCACCAUGGUGUCCUGUCCCAUGGCUUAUGGACACUGUCCCAACAAGUUCAUGUUGCCUGAGAGGAUCUGUGCCAGAGAUGUCUGGCUGCCGUACCUGAGCCUGACAGCACUGCGGCCUGAGUGUCUGCCCCUAGGUGCUGCCUUUCUGUGCCCAGUACUCACCCAGGGUCACUGCUGGUGAGUGCUGUUGGGGAGGGGCUGUGUCUCCUUCAUCCCUCUGUCCUUAGGGCCAAGUGUUGGAUUUUUGAAGGGCUCUUAGGAGUGUGGAUGGAGGUUGGGACUUGGAUGUGUGAGUGGACACAUGAGCCCUGCCUGCUCUCUGCCCGGGUUUCCUUUGUGACAUUCGCUGCCCAGAUGUUCCCCGUGAUCCCACUCUUAGCUGCUCCACAAAGCGUAUCGUCCAGCCAGGCCCAGGCUGGCCCGGUCCUGCAGAGCUCUGGCCUCAGCACCUGUCCCCGGGACACUGCCAGGGACCCAAGGAGGCCUGCAUUGGGGCCCCACACCUGUGCUUUUGGACCAGAUGAGCUGGUUACACUUUUGCCCUUCACAUUGUGGGAAAUAAUAGAAAGGAGUUUUGCCGUGCUGGGCUCAUGAGAUAUAAUUUCCACAUUACGUCAAAGACAAUAAUUGUUUAGCAGAUAUUUUGGACCUAGUGUGUGCAUGGGACUGCAGCAAAUAAAGGGCUAGUGGGAGAUGCCCUAUUUCUGCCUGUCAGCGUAAACUGCUUGUGCCUCUAGAACAAUGGAUUUAUUUUUAUUUACUAAGUUUCCUUCCCUUAAGACAUAUGGUGCUUUGACUUCAUCAUGUUAAAUUUUGAACACGUCAUGUCUCCCUUAUGUGUGCGCUGGGACUUGUUGCUGUCCCCACCAGGCAGACCCUCCCUGGCUGUGCCCUCCUGCGUGUCUCGAUGUCAUGUGCCAUGUUGUUGGGUGCAGAGGAAAUGGCUGUUCCAGCUGUUCCCACCCAGGGGCCUAGGCAAGCAGGGACAGCUGCCCAGGCUAUUCGUUAUUUCCUCCAAGACAGAGGGCAGUUGUUUUGCUCCCAGGCUGCUUGAGCUGGUAACUAAGGCACCUUCGUCUUUGGCUGGAAUCCUAUCAAUUCUUGAGGCCACCUUGGUGAAAUUCUGCUGAUUAGAAAGCUGUUUGGCAGUUAUAUGUGACUUUGAUCAAUAAAGAAAUGAGAAAAAUUAUUUUUCCAUAAA